UGGGAUAGUCUAAGGCCACAUGGAGAUCUGUCUUGCACUAUGUUGACUUAGUUUAGAGGCCCCGGCUGGAGAGGAGUCAGGCCCUUUUCUUGUGGGGUCAAUUAAGUCCGAUCCUCAAUUACCUCCUUGUUUGUCUCUCAGACCCUUGGCCGCUAUUCAGUCGCCAUAUGUGCCUCGGAGCCAGGUACCAGACAACCAGGAACAAGCCCACUGAAAUUAUUUCAAGUCAUCAAGCCUAAGCCUGUUUGCCCUGCCUAACCCUUUCAUUCCUGCAGAAACCACAAAAAAAGGUUUUCGCCUACUGCUGCCCUUUAUCCCUCUGGCUCAACUCUGACGCUGGUGCUCCCACGAGUGGCCCCCUGUGGCAUGGCACGCUGUGUUCUCCCCAGGGAACUCUUUAGGAGACAGGAUGUCUGAGGUCAGAAGUUCCCCCUGGUGACCAAACCAGUUAAGACUGAUGAGAUUCAAGAUCCAGCUCACUUCGCCUUUGAAGAACCUCCAACUUCAUUAUAAUUUAUUUUCCAUACUAAAUGACACUCCCACCAGUGCCAUGACAGUUUAUAAUCACCAUGACAAUGACCAGAAGAAAUUAUGAAAGGACAAAAAGGAAGACCACAACUCCGGUUCUGAGGAAUUCUCCACCCAUUCCCAGAAAAGACAAGAAUACUCCUCCCCUUGUUUUUAAUGCCCAAACCCUUCAUUAAAGAUGUCCCAUAUCUGUGACUUCCUGUCUCUCAUUAAUUGAGAAGUUAAUCUGUG
rnacentral:lncRNA from 10 species